rnacentral:lncRNA from 10 species
AGCUCCCUCUUUGCCCACUAGCAGGGCAUUAGCUGGUGCUGAAGACAGUGGCUGCUUGGCGAGCCUGGAUCUCCAAGUGACCCCCUCAGCAACUCCUGAUGAACAGGACUGAAGCCAAUAUUAAAGCAAGUCAACCAAAGGUUCUCUGGUGUAGACAAGACAGCAAAAGGACAGACUACCUUGUGGAACCUAGCAUUGUUCUCCUUCUGCAGCACUAAGUACUGUGUGCAGAAAUGUGAUUGAGAUUCAAGUCAGGGCCUCUCUGCCCUUUUCCCUCCAGAAACAAAACCAAGAUAAUUUAUCCUGAACACGGUGAAAAAAGGAAGGGAGGGAGGAGAAAAAGUCCGGGUCUCACCUGGGAUUCUCUGUCUCCUGCAACAUGAAGGAUUUAGCCUGGGAGGAGGUGGUGAGAACUCUGGGAGAGAAAAAAGAAGGAAAGAAUAGUUUUACCCAUGCUGAAGUUAAUUUAAACCUUCACCUAGAGAAGCAAAAAAAAAAAACCCACACUUUCCCAUUUUGUGCCUCCCUUCCUAGAGUUUUAGCCAAAGGUUUAGCUAAGUAAUUGGUUUUACC